GCCCUUCGGGGCAUAUGGUCAAAUGAAAAUAUACAGAGAAGAUUAGCAUGGCCCCUGCACUAAGGAUGACAUGUCUCAAUCAAAGAGCAGCUACCUAUUUUU
rfam:Penicillium nordicum strain DAOMC 185683 scaffold_69, whole genome shotgun sequence.